rfam:Brassica oleracea var. oleracea cultivar TO1000 chromosome C9, whole genome shotgun sequence
AGAAUAUAAUAAGCUGACUCUUAACUUUUAACUAAAAAAAUUAAGAAUCGGCUUUUAAAUAAGAGUUUAAGAGACGGUUCUUAACUUUUUUAGUUAAAAUUUAAGAGACGGGUUCUUAUAUUCC